GGACGUAUAGCUCAGAUGGUUAGAGCACCCGUUUCACAUAUUCAUCUGGAAUGAGAAUCACGGGAGGUCGACGGUUCGAGCCCGCCUACGUUCA
rnacentral:tRNA from 1 species